GUACUGAUGAAGAGUCCCAAACUAGGACUAAACAGCUGUUCAGUAC
rfam:Trichobilharzia regenti genome assembly, scaffold: TRE_scaffold0055224